AGCAAUUCAUUUCCAUAUCACUUCAUCAGGCGUCCCCUCGCUCUCUCACAUAUCAACCCUUGUCAAAAAUCGCUCCGCCGCACCGGAGACGGUGGAGCAACCCAGAACCUCACGUUAAUUCCACGAUUAGAACCCUCUCACUCUCCUCUCUCUAAUUCUCAAAUCCAUUUCAUCAAAUUUUCAAUGAAUUCAUCAAACCGAACCCCAAACUUCAAGAACCCUAACUUAUUCAAACAGAAAUUAAAUGCAAUUAGAGGGGAACCAAGUCACUCAACCUAUUCCCCUCAGUCUGGUCUUCAUUCUAGUAUCACGAUUAAAGCAAAACAAAGGAGGAAAUGGAAAUAGUCACCAACCUACAAGGCUGAGGUUAGCCUUGGAAGUUAUUGAAGAUAAAGAUGGAAAUGCUACUGAAGAUGGAAGACUUGAGAUAUAUCAAGGCUGGUGUACCUAUGAUGGACUGACCUUGGCUUGGCAUGAAAAUGUCAUCAUCAAGAAUGGCAUGGCACACAAAGUUGAUAAAUGUAUGGGAAAGAAAAUAUUUUGGAAUGCAUCAAAAGCAUGUAGAAAUGGAAUGUCUUGAGGAUGAAGAUAAAAGUAGGCUAGGGUUAGUUUGACUUUGGUCAACUGUUGACCAAAAAGUCAGCAGUUGACCAAAAAUCAACUCUAGGUCAAAUGUGUAUAAUUUUGUGUAGAAUCUUGAUUUUAACUCUUUUGUAGUGAAACUUUGAUAUUUGUAAUGAAAAAAGAUCCUUUGGAAUGUAAUGUGUGUCUUGUAUUCCUAAGUUAAGUAUUUCCCUCCAAAUCUGAAUUUGAAAUGCCCUUGAAUGCUUAGAUUUGAACUUGAAUUUUGAAUAAAUUUGAAUUGCAA